UACCUGUGUAUGAAAGAGAAUUACUUGUGUAAAUGACUGGCCUGUUGGCAGAAUUAAUAAAUAGCAGAGCCAAAAUGUGGGUUAGAUCAUCUGACUCCAAGUUUUUGUUGCUGGUUGCAAGUUCAUGUGCCCAGUGCACCGUGAGGCCAAACAAACUGAAACAUCGAAGUUUGGAGCAGAGACAGGUUUUCUCUUUCUGUUGCAGGGCAGAGCAAGGAGGACGGAGGGGCUUUUGCCCAGGAAAAUCCCAAACUUCCCGAAGGGUUUCAUUAAAGCAUAUUCAAAGGUCAGGUUCCAGAUUGCCGUUACAACUGAGCAGUAACACAUUUUUCCACAACAUUUUUGGAGGUCCCAGUGAGGUUCCAACCACGCUGGCCCCUUGAGCUGCUGGGAUAGCAGAGCAAACUGCCUGGAGGUCAGAAGCUCCGAGAGUGAACGAGGAGGUGCGCUACCCAACAAUAUUCUGUGUCCUCCUUCGUGGAGGUGAUUCAGUUCUCCGGGCGGCUGUGCCCCAACCGGACUCAGUGGAGGGACAGACCAACUCACCAAGCAACAUGGAGGAAUAAGGUUUACACGAAUGGACAGGGACAAUAUAAGAUCCUCAUGGUCCCGACAUUAAAGAUGAAAAAAGAACGAGGCCAGUCCUUUAGGGCAACCAUGAAGUCCUGCCAAUGCUGCCCCUGCCAAAUGUUCCUUCUGCUUCUGCGGCUCCACCACAGCUGCCUCUACCGGACGGGCCAUCACCGCCUGUGCCGCCAUGGUGGCCCGGACUCUUAGCUUAGAGCCCAAGGGGAGGAAACUCCAUUCGGUCCUGCAGGUCGCCCAGCCAGCGGCCACCCUCCGGAUGCCUUUCCAGGAGACCCAAGAGCCCCAACAAGUUAACAAUGGUGGCCCCGUACAGCCUGGCCACUCCAUCCUGUACUACCAGCCUUUCAGUACAACAGAUCUUCUAAACUGGCGACACCACACUCCACCAUAUUCGGAAAAACCCCAUGCAAUGAUUGACCUCCUAGAGUCCA